CCAAAAUAAUAUUCACGGUAAUAAAAGCGGAAUAAUAAUGUAGCACCGAGAUACGGUAAUUAACAAGAAUAAAAAGAGUAAUAAUGACACCAAGAUUUUUACGUGGAAAACCCUUUUGAAAUAAGGGAAAAAAAAACUACGGCCUUGAGAGGAGCAACUGAUAUCACUAUAGUAAGGAAUUUUACACUUAGUAGGUCCGAGUAAAAUACUUCAAAGACCACUACAGCACUCAAAAGAAAAUAACCCUUCUUUUGAUAUUUCCACCUCACUACAAUAUCUCUUACUCUCUAUUUUUCUCACAGACUAUUUUCUUAUACCCUGUCUGUAAAACCUUACUCUUUUUUUUCUCUUUCUGUUAGUGUAAAAAAUGAGAGCCGAGGCUCUCGUUACCAACUUAUCUUGACUUUACGUUUCCUGCAGCACACAACUUUUGACAAAGAAAGAAAAAACACA
rnacentral:lncRNA from 1 species